rnacentral:rRNA from 1 species
CCUACGGGAGGCAGCAGUAGGGAAUAUUGCUCAAUGGGGGCAACCCUGAAGCAGCAACGCCGCGUGGAGGAUGAAGGUUUUCGGAUUGUAAACUCCUUUUGUUAGAGAAGAUAAUGACGGUAUCUACCGAGUAAGCACCGGCUAACUCCGUGCCAGCAGCCGCGGUAAUACGUAGGGUGCAAUCGUUACUCUGAUUCCCUGGGCGUAAAGAGCGCGUAGGCGGGAUAGCAAGUCAGAUGUGAAAUCCUAUGGCUUAACCAUAGAACUGCAUUUGAAACUGUUAUUCUAGAGUACGGGAGAGGCAGGUGGAAUUCGUGGUGUAGGGGUAAAAUACGUAGAGAUAAAGAGGAAGACUAAUGGCGAAGGCGAAUUGCUAGACCAUAACUGACGCUGAUGCGCGAAAGCGUGGGGAGCAAACAGGAUUAGAUACCCUUGUAGUC